AUGACCAAUACCCGCAAAACACACCCACUAAUAAAAAUUAUUAACUACUCAUUCAUUGAUCUUCCCACACCAUCUAACAUUUCUAUAUGAUGAAACUUCAGCUCACUUCUUGGUGCCUACCUAAUUCCUCAGAUCAUCACAGGAUUAUUUUUGGCCAUACACUAUACAUCAGACACCUUACCUGCCUUCUCUUUAGUCACUCAUAUGAGCUGAGAUGUAAACUACGACUGAAUGGUCCACUAUUUUUAUGCUAAUGGUGCCUCAAUAUUUUUCAUCUGCCUCUUCUUACACAUUGGCCAAGGCUUAUACUAUGGGUCAUUCCUAUUUCUAGAAACCUGAAAUAUUGGCAUUAUCCUCCUACUUAACAACUAUAGCAACAGCAUUCAUAGGCUACGUGCUCCCAUGAGGCCAAAUAUCAUUCUGAGGUGCUACAGUAAUUACAAAUCUACUAUUAGCCAUCCCAUAUAUUGGAGCCGACCUUGUACAAUGAAUCCUAUGAAGAUUCUCAGUUGACAAAGCCACCCUCAUACGAUUUUAUGCCUUCCAUUUCAUCUUACCCUUCAUCAUUACAGCUCUAGCAACUGUUCACCUUUUAUUCUUACAUGAAACAGGAUCUAACAACCGUCGUUUCAUCAGACUCCGACAAAAUCACUUUCCACCCCUACUAUACAACCAAAGAUAUUCUAGGUUUAAUUUUUCUCCUCAUCCUUCUAAUAACUCUAGUACUAUUUUCACCUGACCUCCUGAGCGACACUUUAGCCAACCUCCUCAAUACCCCACCCCACAUUAAGCCAGAAUGGUACUUUCUGUUUGCAUACACAAUUUUACCAUCUAUCCCUAACAAAUUAGGAGGCGUGCUAGCCCUCAUAUCUUCCAUUCUCAUUCUACAAGUUAUUCUUGUACUUCACGUGUCUAAACAACAAAGCAUAAUAUUCCGGCCAUUAAGCCAAUGCCUAUUCUGAGUCCUAGCGGCUGACCUGCUUACACUCACAUGAAUCAGAGGGCAGCCAGUCGAAUACCCUUUUAUUGCCAUCAGACAGACAGCAUCUAUUAUGUACUUUUCUACCAUCCUCACCCUUAUACCAUGCACUACCCUAAUUGAAAAUAAAUUACUUAAAUGAAA
rnacentral:lncRNA from 1 species